CUAAAAACAUUUUUUAUUGUCAUUCUGUGAUUCUCUGAAUGAUUUGCAUUCAUUCAUUGGGCAAACACAGAUUAAAUACCUACCAAGUUGUAUCCUAGGCAAGGCAUUUAUUCUGCAUUAAUUCACCCAGGACAUUUUACCUGAUUGGAGCCAGAGACAGGAGAUUUGAUUCUAGCAAGGCUUUGGUACAUACACUAUCUGAAGAGUCCUCACGGGCCCCCAAGCAUUGGAGAAAGGAAAUCAAGCCACCAUUUCCAGUUUGGUUCCUAAAUGGAGCCAAAGCAGAAAUAGAACCUAGGAACUUUGGGCUUUCAAGCAAACACUGUAUUUAUGAGGCUCUGCACCUCCCACUGCCCCAGAGACUGCCAAACCCCAUCAGAGUGAAGAAGCAAAGUGCAGACAAUGCAAUCUGCGGCCCCUGGCUAAGGAUCAGGGAUGUGCAGGACGUGCUCUGCUUUUUCCUUCCUUAGGAGCAUGUCUGUAAAUUAACUCAGAUUUACAGUCACAGAAAUGCUGCCUGCUGGUUGACAAAGUUAAAACCAGAACAGCUCUGGUCUACAGCUCCCAGCGUGAGCGACGCAGAAGAGGGGUGAUUUCUGCAUUUCCAUCUGAGGUACCGGGUUCAUCUCACUAGGGAGUGCCAGACAGUGGGCGCAGGCCAGUGGGUGCGCGCACCGUGCGUGAGCCGAAGCAGGGCGAGGCAUUGCCUCACUUGGGAAGCGCAAGGGGUCAGGGAGUUCCCUUUCCGAGUCAAAGAAAGGGGUGACGGACGCACCUGGAAAAUCGGGUCACUCCCACCCGAAUAUUGCGCUUUUCAGACUGGCUUAAAAAACGGCGCACCAGGAGAUUAUAUCCCACACCUGGCUCGGAGGGUCCUAUGCCCACGGAGUCUCGCUGAUUGCUAGCACUGCAGUCUGAGAUCAAACUGCAAGGUGGCAGCGAGGCUGGGGGAGGGGCGCCCGCCAUUGCCCAGGCUUGCUUAGGUAAACAAAGCAGCCGGGAAGCUCG
rnacentral:lncRNA from 1 species